rnacentral:rRNA from 1 species
GCCUACGGGGCGCAGCAGUGAGGAAUAUUGGUCAAUGGGCGAGAGCCUGAACCAGCCAAGUCGCGUGAGGGAGUACUGCCCUAUGGGUUGUAAACCUCUUUUGUCGGGGAGCAAAAGCCGGACGUGUUCGUCUGUGAGAGUACCCGAAGAAAAAGCAUCGGCUAACUCCGUGCCAGCAGCCGCGGUAAUACGGAGGAUCCGAGCGUUAUCCGGAUUUAUUGGGUUUAAAGGGAGCGUAGGUGGAUUGUUAAGUCAGUUGUGAAAGUUUGCGGCGCAACCGUAAAAUUGCAGUUGAAACUGGCAGG